AGCAGUUCACAGAAAAUGCCAAGUCUAUGCAGACCUUAGCAGAAGCCAUGGUUCAGGUUCCUCCUAAGACUUUCAUUUUGGGGUCAUCUCUUCCACACCAGAAUAAAGACGAGGGCUCAGGGAACAUCUUGGAGAAGGAAGUGAAAAGGACAUAAGAGCCAGAGACUGGGAAGGAGUGCUGAGAAAUGCUGUCUUCUGGACACGUCAUGCCAUUACAUCAGUGAACUCCCUGCAGCUGUGGUUACCUUGGUAAUGCCCACACCAAGGUCAAGCCAACAAGGCAGAAAUUGGAAACAACCUAGAUGUCCUUUGACCAAAGAAUGGAUAUAGAAAAUGUGGCCCAUUUACAAAAUGGAGUAUUACUCGGGUGCUAAAAACAAUGACAUCAUGAAAUCUGCAGGCAAAUGGAUGAAUCUAGAAAAAACUCACCCUGAGUGAAGAAACCAAACCCAGAAAGAUAAACAUGGCAAGGCUCCCAGCAGGGGGCUGGGAAGUCAAUCCGGCCUCAAAACCUUCAACCUACAGCCUGUCCUGCCUGCAAGACGUGCUGGGGGAAAGGUGGCCAAACCAAUGGCUGGUCCAACUUGAGACCCACACCACAAGAGGGAGCCCAUGCCAGUCACUGCCUGGAGGGCCAGGAACCAGAGGCAGGACGGCCCAGGACCUGAGAUAAUCGGUGCCUAGCCCAGUUAUCAUCAGAGAGGUGUCUUCCAGCGACUGAUGGGAGCAGAUGCAGAGACCCACAGCCAAACACUAGACAGAGCCAGAAGAACCCCCCAGAAGAGAUGGGGGGAAGGGUUGUAGGACCAGGGGUCAAGGAUGCCGCAAGAACAAGGCCCGAAGAAUCAACUAAGCAGGGCUCAUAGGGGCUCACAGAGACUGAAGUGACAAUCGUGGAGCCUGUAUGGGCCUGAGCUAGGUCCUCUGCAUGUAUGUUAUGGUUGUGUAGCUUGGUGUUCUUGUGGGACCCCUAACAGUGGGAGUGUGUGUGGGGGUGUCUCUAACUUUCUGACUCUUUGCCUAUGUUUGGGACCCUUUCCUCCUCCUGGGUUGCCUCAUCCAGACUUGAUAUGAAGGUUUGUGCUAAGUCUUAUUGUAACUUGUUAGGCCAUGUUCAGUUGAUAUCCAUGGGAGGCCUGCCCCUUUUUUCUUUUUUCUUUUUUUUCUUCUUCU